rnacentral:lncRNA from 1 species
GGCUUCUUGAUCCUAUGUGUUGUAUUGAGUGUUGGUCACUGGUCUUUGGGAAGCUUGGACAGAAGUGGGGCAGCCAUGGAGCUGCUGACUGGGACUGGCCUGUGGCCCGUGGUCAUAGUCACAGUCAUCUUCAUAUUACUGGUGGACAUGUUGCACCGGUGCCAGCGCUGGACUUCUUGCUGCCCACCAGACCCUGUGCCAUGGCCUGUGCUGGGUAACCUGCUGCAGGUGGACCUGGAUAACAUGCCAUAUAACUUGUACAAGCUUCACAACCGCUAUGGUGACGUGUUCAGCCUGCAGAUGGGCUGGAACCACAUGGCCGUGAUCAACGGACUGAAGGUGAUACAGGAAGUGUUGGUGACCUGUGGAGAGGACACUGCUGACCGCCCUGAAAUGCCCAUCUUUCCACACCUAGGCUAUGGGCAAAAAGCUAAAGGCAAAGGCUGUGUGGGGGCAGAGAUGGCAUCAAAGCCAGACAAGGGGGGACAGUGAGCAAAGGAAGGUCAGAUCAUGAUGCAGGUGGUAAUGUAGUUAAGCAUUGCAGCAGAAAGUCACAGAAAUCCAUUGUGGAGCCUCCUGAGCAUGGUGGAGGGUGGUAGAGACAUGUACUGGAGGAAGGGUGAGGUAUGGAGGACACCGACAAAGAAGAGAAAUGAAGGUGGGAGGGGGCACCAAAGCCAGGUGUCCUUGGUUUUACACAGAUGUGUCUGCAGGUGUGGUCCUUGCUCCUUAUGGGCCUGAGUGGAAAGAGCAGAGGUGAUUCUCUGCGUCGACCCUGUGCAACUUCAGCCUGGGCAAGAAAUCACUGGAGCAGUGGGUGAUGGAAGAGGUUGGACACCUCUUUGAUGUCUUCACUGCCCAUGCUGGGAGUCCCCUCAAUCCUUACCCUCUCUUGGACAAAGCCGUGUGCAAUGUGAUUGUGUCUCUCAUUUAUGCCCAUCGCUUCGAGUAUGGAGACCCUGACUUCAUCAAGAUGCUAAAAAGGAGGCUGUAGACAAGAGAUUUGGAAAGAACACAUCUAGAAGUGUCCACCACAGUAAUAGGAGCCUGGAGAUUGACAUACAGCAAAAGGAAGUGAGAAGCUGACCAAGGUCAGGGCUUCUAGAAGCUGAGACCCUGGCCCUCUGCCCACAUGGAACAUCUGUGAGAUUUUCCAGGGUUGGCUGACAAAGUCUUCCCUGGGCAAAAGACAUUUCUCAUAAUGGUGGAUAAGCUGGUGACUGAGCACAAGAGGACCUGGAACUCGGACCAGCCGCCUCGAGACCUGACUGAUGCCUUUAUGGCUGAGAUGGAGAAGGCAAAGGGAAACCCUGAGAGUAGCUUCAAUGAUGCAAAUCUAUGUCUGGUUGUCCUUGACCUGCUGGGUGCUGCAACUGUGACCACCUCAACCACACUGUCCUGGGCCCUGCUGCUUAUGAUCCUGCAUCCGGAUGUGCAGUGUGAGCCUGGCUGGGGCUGUCAAGAAAGGAGGAGGAGGGUAGAGGCAAACUCCUUAAACUUACUUGGGACACUUGUAGAUCCCAGCAUUGAGUUAACCCAGACUGCAGUAAGUAUGGUUGCCUUAUUUCUCCCAUGGACCCAGCCCUUAACAGAGAGGUAGUGGAUGGACAAGGGGCACCCACUGAAGCAUCUUAACUGAUGGGAAAAUGUCCUUCCAGGCCAAGUACAACAGGAAAUCGAUGAGGUCAUUUGGUAUGUGUGGCUUCCAGAGAUGGCAGACCAGGUCUGCAUGCCCUUCACCAAUGCUGUCAUUCAUGAGGUACAGUGCUUACAGUUACUGGGAUAUCAUCCCAAUAACUUUGCCACACAGGACUUCUCGUGACAUUGAAGUGUGGGGCUUUCUUAUCCCUAAGGUAGGUCUGGGUCUCUCCAGUGUCUAGUCAGUGUUGCCAGCUACCCGCUGACUUGAUCUGCCCAGUUAAGAAGGACUAGAUUACAGGCAUUCCAAUUCUCAACUCAAGGGAACCAACAUCCCCUGGGUAAAUAUGGGAAUAGAAACAAGAGCAAUAACUGCUUUAGAAUCCCUACCUAGAAAUGCAGGCAAGGUAAAAUAUGGCAGGAGUGGUUGUAACAGCCACUACCUACAAAUACAGGUCACAGUGUGUACAUCUGUCCCAUCACAUUUCCAUGUCACAGUAUUAAUGAAAUCUGUGAAGCUUCUGUGGUUAGUUUAUAUGACAGCAUCCAGUGUGUGUGUGGUACAGGCUGUGCCUGUGAAUGUCGUGACUAGUAAGGGUCUAGUAAAACUCACCCUGUUCAUGUUCACACAAUGUGCUUCAUGCCAGGGCAUGACUCUCAUCUCCAACCUGUUCCGUGCUGAAGGAUGAGACUGUCUGGGAGAAGCCCCUUCGCUUCCAUCCUGAACACUUCCUGGAUGCCCAGGGCCACUUUGUGAAGCCUGAGGCCUUCAUGCCAUUCUCAGCAGGUGCCUCUAGGGUGCCUUCCUGCCUAUCUUUCCCUAGGGUGCCUUGGAGGGUGGAGCACCAAUCAGGUCCCAGACUGAGCCCUCUUCUACACAUAGGCCACAGAUCAUGCCUGGGGGAGCCCCUGGCCCUCAUGGAGCUCUUCCUCUUCUUCACCUGCCUCCUGCAGCGCUUUAGCUUCUCAAUGCCAGCUGGACAAUCCCUUCCCAGUGAUUAUGGCAUCUAUACAAUGCCAGUUACUCCAGCACCUACCAGCUCUGUGCAGUGGUUUGCUAGCAGGGGCAGUGGCUCCAGCCAUCAUCACAGAUUGUUCUGACUGAUGUCCAAUAAACAAGUUUUGUGUCUGAAUCUCA